AACGAACGCUGGCGGCAUGCCUAACACAUGCAAGUCGAACGAGACCUUCGGGUCUAGUUGCGCACGGGUGCGUAACGCGUGGGAACCUGCCCUUAGGUUCGGAAUAACUCCCCGAAAGGGGUGCUAAUACCGGAUAAUGUCUUCGGACCAAAGAUUUAUCGCCUUUGGAUGGGCCCGCGUUGGAUUAGCUAGUUGGUAGGGUAAAAGCCUACCAAGGCGACGAUCCAUAGCUGGUCUGAGAGGAUGAUCAGCCACACUGGGACUGAGACACGGCCCAGACUCCUACGGGAGGCAGCAGUGGGGAAUAUUGGACAAUGGGCGAAAGCCUGAUACAGCAAUGCCGCGUGAGUGAUGAAGGCCUUAGGGUUGUAAAGCCCUUUUAGCCGGGAUGAUAAUGACAGUACCGGGAGAAUAAGCUCCGGCUAACUCCGUG
rnacentral:rRNA from 1 species